rnacentral:rRNA from 2 species
AUAGUCUGAGACCUGAUGCCGAGCCGAUUGUGGUGAAGUGGAUGAUCCUAUGCUGUCGAGAAAAGCCUCUAGUGAGUUUCAAGGCGGCCCGUACCCUAAACCGACUCAGGUGGUCAGGUAGAGAAUACCGAGGCGUUCGGGUGAACUAUGGUUAAGGAACUCGGCAAAAUGCCCCCGUAACUUCGGGAGAAGGGGGGCCAUUUCCGGUGAUGGCAUUUACUGUCUGAGCUGGGGGUGGCCGCAGAGACCAGCGAGAAGCGACUGUUUACUAAAAACACAGGUCCGUGCGAAGCCGUAAGGCGAUGUAUACGGACUGACGCCUGCCCGGUGCUGGAACGUUAAGGGGACCGGUUAGCUCCAUUUCGGUGGGGCGAAGCUGAGAACUUAAGCGCCAGUAAACGGCGGUGGUAACUAUAACCAUCCUAAGGUAGCGAAAUUCCUUGUCGGGUAAGUUCCGACCUGCACGAAUGGCGUAACGACUUCUCGACUGUCUCAACCAUAGGCCCGGUGAAAUUGCAUUACGAGUAAAGAUGCUCGUUUCGCGCAGCAGGACGGAAAGACCCCGGGACCUUUACUAUAGCUUGAUAUUGGUGUUCGGUUCGGCUUGUGUAGGAUAGGUGGGAGACUGUGAAGCGCCAACGCCAGUUGGUGUGGAGUCGUUGUUGAAAUACCACUCUGGUCGUGCUGGAUGUCUAACCUGGGUCCGUGAUCCGGAUCAGGGACAGUGUCUGGUGGGUAGUUUAACUGGGGCGGUUGCCUCCUAAAGGGUAACGGAGGCGCCCAAAGGUUCCCUCAGCCUGGUUGGUAAUCAGGUGUUGAGUGUAAGUGCACAAGGGAGCUUGACUGUGAGACUGACGGGUCGAGCAGGUACGAAAGUAGGGACUAGUGAUCCGGCGGUGGCUUGUGGAAGCGCCGUCGCUCAACGGAUAAAAGGUACCCCGGGGAUAACAGGCUGAUCUUCCCCAAGAGUCCAUAUCGACGGGAUGGUUUGGCACCUCGAUGUCGGCUCGUCGCAUCCUGGGGCUGGAGUCGGUCCCAAGGG